UUGAAACACCUGUUCCGAUCACCAAAGUUAAGUAACAUCGAGCCUGGUCAGUACCUCGAUGGGUGACCGCUUGGGAAUACCAGAUGCUGUAAG